rnacentral:rRNA from 1 species
CCUACGGGGAGCUGCAGUAGGGAAUCUUUCACAAUGGGCGAAAGCCUGAUGGAGCAACGCCGCGUGCAGGAUGAAGGCCUUCGGGUUGUACACUGCUUUUAUAAGCGAGAAAUAUGAUGGUAACUUAUGAAUAAGGAUCGGCUAACUACGUGCCAGCAGCCGCGGUCAUACGUAGGAUCCGAGCAUUAUCCGGAGUGACUGGGUGUAAAGAGUUGCGUAGGUGGCAUAAUAAGUAGCUAGUGAAAUCUGGUGGCUCAACCAUUCAGACUAUUAGCUAAACUGUUAAGCUCGAGAACGUUAGGGGUAACUGGAAUUUCUAGUGUAGGAGUGAAAUCCGUAGAUAUUAGAAGGAACACCAAUAGCGUAGGCAGGUUACUGGGACGGUUCUGACACUAAGGCACGAAAGCGUAGGGAGCAAACGGGAUUAGAUACCCUUGUAGUC